rnacentral:tRNA from 1 species
GGAGAGUAUGGCAUCAGGAUGUGGCCGUUGACUUCAUGNCCGGCCGCGCUCCAAGUCCGCGCGGAAAGAGUGCCGGGGUUCGAUUCCCCGACUCUCCACCA